UUUAGCCUUUUUCCUGUCUAUUUUCUACUGUUCAACUUUCUCUCAGGUAAUGCUGCUUAGUGUGUUUGAAGUGUCUGAGGUUGUGAUGUGCUGCGGAUGUUUUGGUUAGUUUGAUUAAACUCUGAAACUCUGACGUGGAGCGCUGAUUGUCAUCUGUGUGGCUUUUGUUUUCACGCUCAGCAUCACUGAAUCCGGGAUGACGAGAGAAUAAAACGAGCCAGAAGUUUUAAUAAUUUAUUUUCUAAACAGGGAAUA